UCCGUCAUGGUCCAGUGGCUAGGAUUCAUCGCUCUCACCGAUGCGCGGGGGUUCGAUUCCCCCUGACGGAG
rfam:Schizosaccharomyces japonicus yFS275 unplaced genomic scaffold supercont5.2, whole genome shotgun sequence.